CGCGACCUGAGCCGAAGUCGGAUGCUUAACCGACGGAGCCCCCCAGGCGGCCCUAGAGCUGGGACUUAGAUGUUCUUAUUUGUGUUGUUAACUGAAACAUCCCCACCCAGGCCUUUUCUAGUGGUCACUGACUAUGGAGUCGCUCUUUGUUUUACCAUUGGUUCCAACAUCCAUCAAGUGCGUACAGAUGCCAUUCCCUUUGUCAAGCACCGUCAUUGCUCUUGACCAACUUGACAACUGGUCGGGCUGGCACUUUCGAUCCUCACCGUAGAGCACUGACUUCCUCCCACCCACGCACGCUGCCUCGUUUCUUACCCUUCCUCUUAGGAGCCUGUGUCCUCAGCACUGGCUAAGCCUCAUCAUUUCCAGGUCUCCAAACACACCCUGAUUUCCCCCUCUUCCAAGUCUGUUCUCACUGCUUCCCCAGUGGAACAGCCCCCCCUGUGCCAUGCUACUUCCAGGCUACCUGCCUGCGGUGUCCUGCCUGCCUUGGCCAGCUUGGGCUCGGUAUGCGGGAGGAGCUGAGCAGACGGUGCAGAGAUCUCCGUGACUCUUAGAGUUUUCUGAGCCCGAGUGUUCUGUGCCCCUUUAUUCGGGGUUUGGAAUCAUCCCCAAGCUGGGUGGGCCUGGUGCCAGGACCCUGGGGCUUAGGGCUUGGGAAGGGCUUCCUCUGCUGGAGGAGGACAGCACAGGGGCCAGGCAAGACUACCCAGUCAUUAACAGGCUCUGCCAGGGAGCAGUCCUGGAGAGGUCAAUGUGCUUCUCAAAGACUUUGGCGACACCCACCCCAGAGAGUGAGCCAGACUGGGUGAAGACAGGCAACAAGGCGCAUGAGCGUUAGAGCCGGGAGCAGCCGGGUCCACGUUCCUCCUCCACCACCCGCCCUGCUUGGGCCACGAAGCCCCUCAAGCCUCACCUUCUCCAUUUACGAAAAAUGCAGAUGACAAUCUCCAGCUCACGGAGCUGUUGGAGGACAUAAAUGAGGCAACAUAUGUCGAAUGUCUCACUUAGCGUGGGUGCCCUGCAUAUAUGCACCAACUGUGUCCCCACCCCAUCUAUAGCCACACACCUGCUCAUCAGGAAGUGAGACUGAGAAUAUCCACUAUCAGUGGAGGGACAGAGAUAAACACUCUUCGCGUCAGUGUUACAAGGGCAGGACUGAUGGAUUGAGAGAGAGACAUAG